GGGCCCGCACAAGCAGUGGAGUAUGUGGUUUAAUUCGAAGCAACGCGAAGAACCUUACCAGGUCUUGACAUCCGACUAACGAAGCAGAGAUGCAUCAGGUGCCCUUCGGGGAAAGUCGAGACAGGUGGUGCAUGGUUGUCGUCAGCUCGUGUCGUGAGAUGUUGGGUUAAGUCCCGCAACGAGCGCAACCCUUGUUUUUAGUUGCUACGCAAGAGCACUCUAAAGAGACUGCCGUUGACAAAACGGAGGAAGGUAGGGACGACGUCAAAUCAUCAUGCCCUUUAUGACCUGGGCUACACACGUACUACAAUGGUCGCUAACAAAGGGAAGCAAUAUCGCGAGAUGGAGCAAAUCCCCAAAAGCGGUCUCAGUUCAGAUUGCAGGCUGCAACCCGCCUGCAUGAAGUAGGAAUUGCUAGUAAUCGCGGAUCAGCAUGCCGCGGUGAAUACGUUCCCGGGCCUU
rnacentral:rRNA from 1 species